CGGCGGACGGGUGAGUAACGCGUGGGUAACCUGCCUCAUACAGGGGAUAACAGUUAGAAAUGACUGCUAAUACCGCAUAAGACCACAGCACCGCAUGGUGCGGGGUAAAAACUCCGGUGGUAUGAGAUGGACCCGCGUCUGAUUAGCUAGUUGGUAAGGUAACGGCUUACCAAGGCGACGAUCAGUAGCCGACCUGAGAGGGUGACCGGCCACAUUGGGACUGAGACACGGCCCAA
rnacentral:rRNA from 1 species